CAACCUUCAAGCACGGCUUGUGUGAUGGGUGACCGUCCCUCCGCUAGGCGGGACGCGCCCGAAAUGCAGUGGCUAGACCGCGAUUCCGGCGUCUGAGCGAAUGGGACAACCACCGCUUCUAGAACCGGCCGGCCCCGGCCCGACAACAUCGAUCCUCGCGGAUCAUCCA
rnacentral:misc_RNA from 1 species